GUAACAUAUAUAUAACAAUAUUUUAAUUUUAUAGUGAAGUGGGGAAAUGUUCCAUGUGAACAUCACUUGGAAAUGGCUGGUUAUUCGAUCCUAAGAGAUGGGGAAUCCUUGUAUCAAGGGUGCACUUUGCAUGAAAAUCAAAAGAGAAUUGGGUUAAUAUUCCCGAACUGGGACAUGGUGGUGGACGACAAUGUUAGGAAAUCUGGAGAUGUCAUCAGGGGCCUAGGAAGAGUUAUCUUUUAUUUUUAACGACUUUCCCACCCUGAAAUCGGUUCAACCAAAGAUAGGUUCCAACAUCUGAAAGAGCACCACACGUCUUGCGGUGUUUGGUUCCCCUUCAGUGGUCAUUGUAAAUAUGGUGAACCCAGUACCAUCCAUGCCCGAUCGUACUCAUAUUUGCCUCCUUGUAUUUUUCAAUGUCCACUA
rfam:Picea glauca, whole genome shotgun sequence.